GGCCACCUGACACAACUGCGUCACCAUAGCAGUAGACGGGUUUAGUCUUUGUCCUAAGGGGAGUUCUUUAAAUAGACAAACUAUAAAGUUGCUGUCUCGUUUCUACCUGUUCCCGUGAUCUUUUGCACCGUGCACACAUUCGUUGUGUAAAAUAACAAUUUGUGACCUUUUUUUCCGGAUAGGGAAGAUUGAUGACGUUGGUUGAGGUGUACAAACGAUAAUUCAGGUUUAUUUUUGUAAUAGAGAAGAGAAAGCCUGUAAUGGCAACUAAAAUGCUACUAUUUGCUACUAAGUUCGAUGUGAGGUUGUGGCCUUUAUUUUUAUGAGGGAAGAGAAAGCCGCUAAUAGCAACUAAAAUGUUAUUUUUUGCUACUAAGUUCGAGGUAAG